GCUGGAAUAGCUCAGUUGGGAGAGCGUUAGACUGGAGUUGUUUACGCAGCAAUCAUCUAAAGGCUCCCAGUUCAAUCAUGGGUUACGGCA
rnacentral:tRNA from 1 species